UCGCCACAUUCAUUACUUUGAAUUUGAUUUUUAAUACCUUUAUUUCGCGACAUAAACUAGUAACUAUUUCUGAAAAGUUAUCGGACAUUUACAAUGAACAUGCAUCCGAUGAUUCCUUUCAAUUUCUCGCCGAAGCUACUAAUAAAAGCGAAUGGGUUUGUCAACUCUAUUUCAAGUUCAUGAUUUUGGCAGCAUUUUCUACAGCAAUUUUGUGCGAAAUUUCGGUAGUGACUUCUCACAUUUUUCACGGAAAUUUCGAUACGAAAUACACCUAUCAUCCAUUCAAAGUUAUGUAUGUUAUCGAAUUUCAGAAAAUUAAAAAAAUAAUUAAAUUUUAUUAUUUAAUUUAUUUAA